AUUGAACGCUGGCGGCAGGCCUAACACAUGCAAGUCGAACGAGUGGCGGACGGGUGAGUAAUGUCUGUGAAACUGCCCGAUGGAGGGGGAUAACUACUGGAAACGGUAGCUAAUACCGCAUACCAUCGGAUGUGCCCAGAUGGGAUUAGCUAGUAGGGGGGGUAACGGCUCACCUAGGCGACGAUCCCUAGCGGGUCUGAGAGGAUGACCGGCCAAACGGGAACUGGGACAAGGUCACAACUCCUACGGGAGGAAGCAGGGGGGAAUAUUGCAAAAUGGGCGCAAGCCUGAUGCAGCCAUGCGGCGUGUAUGAAGAAGGCCUUCGGGUUGUAAAGUACUUUCAGCGAGGAGGCGUUACUCGCAGAAGAAGCACCGGCUAACUCCGUGCCAGCAGCCGCGGUAAUAC
rnacentral:rRNA from 1 species